AUGGAAGACAUAGCUCGAGAAUAUUUUGAUCAGCUCCUUUCACGCUCAUUUUUCCAGAAAAUCAAGCUUGGACACAAGACUUACUACUUGGUGCAUGGCCUACUCCAUGAACUUGCAAAAUCUGCUGUGGAGGAGGACUGCUUCCGUAUUGAUGAUGGCAUGAGUUGUGACAUCCCAUCAACAGUGCGCCAUCUGUCUGUCACCAUGAACAGUUUACCUGGUCUCACAAACUUUUCCGGGCUAGAAAAGUUGCGUACCUUGCUAAUCCAACCAUCACUUCCAUUCUCCUCCAGUUGCUUCCAAGAGGAUUUAAAAGGUAUCCUGGCGAAGUCAAAACAUUUGCAUGUUCUUGAUCUCAGUUGCUAUAACUCUAAAGAGUUGCCUAAUUGCACUGUUGAGUUAUUGCACCUUCGUUACCUCUCUAUCCAUGGAUCCAUCCAGAGGCUUCCUGAGUCGAUUGGCAGGCUCUGGCAUCUGCAAACAUUGCGCUUCACCGGGGAAUGUUCCCUUGAGAAGCUUCCUGCUAGCAUUAUUAUGUUGGUCAAUUUGCGGCACCUUAUUGUUGAAACAAAGUAUACUGCAGGAUUGGUGGGCAUUGGUCGGCUAGCCAAUCUUCAGGGAUCACUUGAGCUCCACAUUGAGAAGAGGGAAGGACAUAAACUAGAAGAGUUGAGGAACAUCAAUGGUCUUUGUGGGCUACUAAAAAUAAAAGGUCUAGAAAAUGUUUCAAGCUAUGAAGAAGCAUGCAAAGCUAAGUUGAAUAAGAAAACACAUCUUAAUUCUCUAAAUUUAGAAUGGAGCUUUGCUAGUAGGAAUAACCCUCCUCCUGCUGACGCGGAGGUACUUGAAGGCUUAAAGCCGCACCAAGACAUAAAGGUACUUCAUAUAAGAAGGUAUUGUGGCACCAAAGCUCCCAGUUGGCUACAGUCACUACAACAAGUGCGUUCUUUGCACCUUAUCAAUUGCAGGAGUUUGGGCGUCCUUCCUCCAUUGGGAAAUUUGGGAUCACUUAGAGAUUUACACAUGAAGGAGCUAUGUGGAGUUGGCCGAAUUGGACAUGAGUUUUAUGGCAACGGUGAUGUGGCAUUUCCAUCUCUAUGUAUCCUUGAAUUUGAUGACUUCCCAAAGUUGUGUGAGUGGGCUGGAACAGAGGACAAGAUCUCAUUUCCAUACCUUGAAAGAUUGAUUCUAGUGGAUUGUCCAGAAUUGGUCGGAAUUCCUCCCUUCUCCGCAACUACUCGUGAAGUUACCAUUGAGCAUACAUGCUUCAUGCCAUACAUGAGGCUUGCGCCUUUUUCUUCAAGUUCAGAGAAGCUCCAGCUCGAUGUUUGCACAACUUCUGGGCACUUCAACGGGUUACUCCAUAAGCAGCAUCUCAAGGCUGUUGUAUCCUUAAACAUAAUUGGGUCUGAACAAGUCAUUGCUACUGAAGAAAUAGGGUCACUCGUUUCUCUACAAAGGCUUCAGUUUUGUCGAUGCGAUUUCACUGACUAUAACUUUAGCAGGUUUCUCCAGGCUCUACCUUGUCUUUCCUUGUUGGAGAUAAUUGACCUGCCUAACUUAACAUCUCUUCCAGAAUUAGAAACAUUUGGGGUUAGCACAAUGCUCACUGAGUUGUCUGUACGCAACUGCCAGUUGUUGCAGUCUCUAUCCUCAUUGCAGAUUUUUGAUUCACUAAAAUAUUUGGUGAUCGAGAGAUGUCCUAAAGUGACUGCAACAUCAUUUCCGUUGAACUUUAGGGGUCUUUCAUCGCUCAAAGUGCUGAAAAUAUCACACUUCUCAGAGCUCCAAUCUUUACCCGUGUGUGGUCUACCAUCCUCAUUGGAAACACUCCAUAUUACUAGGUGCCACCCGGAGUUGUCCAAGCAGUCAAGAAACAUGAAAGGGCAUUACGUUGAGAAGCUUGCAAUUGUACCUAGUGUGUCAAUUUAG
rnacentral:rRNA from 1 species